rnacentral:rRNA from 1 species
AACGAACGCUGGCGGCGUGGAUGAGGCAUGCAAGUCGAACGUUCAUUUGUGUGUAGCAAUAUAUGCAAAUGGAAGUGGCGUAAGGGUGAGUAAUACGUGAGUAAUCUGCCUCCAAGAUGGGCAUAACCUGGCGAAAGCCGGACUAAUUCCCAAUGUGGUCGGUUGUCACAUGACAGCCUGUCUGAAGUCGGGGACCGCAAGGCCUGACACUUGGAGAUGAGCUCGCGUCCUAUCAGCUAGUUGGUGAGGUAACGGCUCACCAAGGCUUACGGGUAGCUGGUCUGAGAGGAUGGUCAGCCACACUGGGACUGAGACACUGCCCAGACUCCUACGGGAGGCUGCAGUCGAGAAUCUUUCGCAAUGGCGCAAGCCUGACGAAGCGACGCCGCGUGCAGGAUGAAGGUCUUCGGAUUGUAAACUGCUGUCUUUUGGGAGCAAGGAACCGU